GUGGGGAAUUUUGGACAAUGGGGGCAACCCUGAUCCAGCAAUGCCGCGUGCAGGAAGAAGGCCUUCGGGUUGUAAACUGCUUUUGUACGGAACGAAAAGGCUCUGGUUAAUACCUGGGGCUCAUGACGGUACCGUAAGAAUAAGCACCGGCUAACUACGUGCCAGCAGCCGCGGUAAUACGUAGGGUGCGAGCGUUAAUCGGAAUUACUGGGCGUAAAGCGUGCGCAGGCGGUGCUGUAAGACAGGCGUGAAAUCCCCGGGCUCAACCUGGGAAUUGCGCUUGGGACUGCAGUGCUGGAGUGCGGCAGAGGGGGAUGGAAUUCCGCGUGUAGCAGUGAAAUGCGUAGAUAUGCGGAGGAACACCGAUGGCGAAGGCAAUCCCCUGGGCCUGCACUGACGCUCAUGCACGAAAGCGUGGGGAGCAAACAGGAUUAGAAACCCGGGUAGUCC
rnacentral:rRNA from 1 species